AACGAACGCUGGCGGCAGGCUUAACACAUGCAAGUCGAACGAUCUCUUCGGAGAUAGUGGCAGACGGGUGAGUAACGCGUGGGAACCUACCUUAUUCUACGGAAUAACACAGAGAAAUUUGUGCUAAAUACCGUAUACGCCCUUUGGGGAAAGAUUUAUCGGAGUAAGAUGGGCCCGCGUUGGAUUAGCUAGUUGGUGGGUAAUGGCCUACCAAGGCUACGAUCUAUAGCUGGUUUUAGAGGAUGAUCAGCAACACUGGGACUGAGACACGGCCCAGACUCCUACGGGAGGCAGCAGUGGGGAAUCUUGGACAAUGGGCGCAAGCCUGAUCCAGCCAUGCCGCGUGAGUGAUGAAGGCCUAGGGUGUAAAGCUCUUUCGCCAGGGAUGAUAAUGACAGUACCUGGU
rnacentral:rRNA from 1 species